UUGAAUAUAGUUCCCUGUGCUAUACAGUAACACAGGAAAUUUUUAACUCAUAAUUCUGUUUUUUUAAAAAGCCAAAUAGUUCAAGGCUCACAACAUAUAAAUCCUCUUCUGUACAUAAUCAUAAUGCUUUGAAAUUCAACCACAGAAGGGCAGUAAAAAGAUGGGGCAUGUUAAUGAAAAGUGAACUUCUCCAUUGUUCUCUAUUUGGCCUCUGGAGAGCACUGCUGCCUAAGUUGGAAAUUGUUUUUCUGUGAAGGAUCAGAAGAAUCUCACAAAACCCUAGGUUUUAACAAGAUAUUCUGAUCAUUUUUUACACAGUGAGAUGUAAAGCAUCUCAGACACCAGAGACAGGCAUUUUGUUAAGACAGCUUCUCUUCCUAACAACCUCCCUACCAUCUCCAUCAGAAGAAAUAUAUAUCCUUUGUCAUUCUUAAUUUCAGAGAAACCUGGGUUCAAGUCAGCCAGUCUUCAGACUUAUUUGUGGGGAACCUGUUAGAAAGGAGCUCACUGCCUCUUCACUGCUCCACUAUGACCUUGGUGUUCACCUUGAUGCUUGAGAUGCUCCUGUUUCUGAGAGCUGGAGCCCAGUCAGUGACCCAGGCUGAUGACCACAUCACUGUCUCUGAAGGAGCCCGUCUGGAGCUGAAGUGCAACUACUCAUCUUCUGUUUCACCAUACCUCUUCUGGUCCGUGCAGUUCCCGGACCAAGGACUCCAGCUUCUCCUGAAGUACGUGUCUGGAGACAAUCUUGUUUCAGGCAUCAAAGGUUUUGAGGCUGAAUUUAGGAGGAGUGAGAAGUCCUUCCACCGGAGGAAAAUACCAGCUCAUUGGAAAGACUCGGCCAAGUUCUUCUGUGCUCUGAUUCAGUUGAAACCAGAGGGUGGGGCUUCCUGUCACAGAGUGUCCGCUGAGCAUGGUUUGUUGGCUGAGCUGAUUGGUUGCAGGAGCUGA